rnacentral:rRNA from 1 species
CACGUAGGGGGCAAGCGUUGUCCGGAUUUAUUGGGCGUAAAGAGCUCGUAGGUGGUUCGGUAAGUCGGGUGUUAAACCCCCAGGCUCAACCUGGGGACGCCACUCGAUACUGCUGUGACUAGAGUCCGGUAGGGGAGCGUGGAAUUCCUGGUGUAGCGGUGAAAUGCGCAGAUAUCAGGAGGAACACCAGCGGCGAAGGCGGCGCUCUGGGCCGGUACUGACACUGAGGAGCGAAAGCGUGGGUAGGCAAACAGGG